UUGGAGCAGAGAAGUUCUAUUUCAGUUGGGAGUUGAGUGGUGGAGAUAUCAGCCUGUGGCAGUUGGUGACUAUCUUGCUCUCAUAAAGGCAGAGCCAUGUGAAGAUGACACCAGUGGCAGAGCCCAGAGGUGGGGAAGGAUGACUUCUGCUGAUGUCACUGAGCACCAGGUACAGCCCUGCCUGAAGCUGUCUCCCUGUGAAUGUCUCAGUUAGGCUGUCUGCUGCAUGAGAAUGGAGACCUGCCUGCUUCACUACCUGUUGUGCCCGGUAUCUGGAACCUGCCCAACACACAGUAGAACGUCAGCGAAUGUGUGAUGGGUGUGUGAUCACUGUAGGCCACAGACAAAAGUCUUCCAAGCAGUGAUGAAACCCUGUGACAGAUCCUGUCCACAGCACCCUGCUCCUCCGAUCCUGACCCCAGGCUUUCCCAUGGUGUGUGACCCCGCAUAGGGUGCAGUACCCUCCUCCAGUCUGAAACACCAGUGGAAACGUAUGUAUGGAUGUCAUAAUUCAGGGCCUGCUGGAAUGAUCCCUCAGACCGACCUAUGUGUCCUCGGUGCAGUACCAUGUCAGCCCGUCCAAAAUAUAGCAUCUGCAUUUUGGAGAUAAUGCUGAAGGAAAUGCUUCAUCUUCUCACGUUGUGGACAUUGACCACUUUCCUUUGUACCCUCAUCCUUGAUUCAUGGGUUCACGAAGGCAACCACAGAGCUGUUCCACAACCUCUGCCUCAAACCAGAACGUAAUACCAGUCCAGGAUACGAAUGUAGCAGAUCCUAAAACUUUUAAUACUGAUUUUAACCCC